GACGAACGCUGGCGGCGUGCUUAACACAUGCAGGUCGAACGGAAAGGCCCUGCUUGCAGGGUACUCGAGUGGCGAACGGGUGAGUAACACGUGGGUGAUCUGCCCUGCACUUCGGGGUAAGCCUGGGAAACUGGGUCUAAUACCGGAUAGGAGCCAUUCUUAGUGUGAUGGUUGGAAAGUUUUUUCGGUGUAGGAUGAGCUCGCGGCCUAUCAGCUUGUUGGUGGGGUAAUGGCCUACCAAGGCGGCGACGGGUAGCCGGCCUGGGAGGGUGGACGGCCACAUUGGGACUGAGGUACGGCCCAGACCCCUACGGGAGGCAGCAGGGGGGAAUAUUGCACAAUGGGCGCAAGCCUGAUGCAGCGACGCCGCGUGGGGGAUGACGGCCUUCGGGUUGGAAACUCCUUUCGCUAGGGACGAAGCUUUUUGUGACGGUACCUAGAUAAGAAGCACCGGCUAACUACGUG
rnacentral:rRNA from 1 species